AUUGAACGCUGGCGGAAGGAAGUACACAGGCGAGUCGAACGGGAACGGGCCUUCGGGUGCCGACGAGUGGCGAACGGGUGAGUAAUACAUCGGAACGUGCCCGAUCGUGGGGGAUAACGAGGCGAAAGCUUUGCUAAUACCGCAUACGAUCUACGGAUGAAAGCAGGGGACCGCAAGGCCUUGCGCGGACGGAGCGGCCGAUGGCAGAUUAGGUAGUUGGUGGGAUAAAAGCUUACCAAGCCGACGAUCUGUAGCUGGUCUGAGAGGAUGAUCAGCCACACUGGGACUGAGACACGGCCCAGACUCCUACGGGAGGCAGCAGUGGGGAAUUUUGGACAAUGGGCGCAAGCCUGAUCCAGCCAUGCCGCGUGCAGGAUGAAGGCCUUCGGGUUGUACACUGCUUUUGUACGGAACGAAAAGCCUUCUUUUAAUACAGGAGGGUCAUGACGGUACCGUAAGAAUAAGCCCCGGCUCCCUACCU
rnacentral:rRNA from 1 species